rfam:Cavia porcellus supercont2_45 genomic scaffold, whole genome shotgun sequence.
GUCCUGCAUCGGCUUUGGCAGCACAUACAUUAGCAUUGCAAUGAUACAGAGAUUAACAUGCUCCUGUGCAAGGAUGACACCCAGAUUUGCGAAGUGACACAAAUUAAA